UACGUAGGGGGCUAGCGUUGUCCGGAAUCAUUGGGCGUAAAGCGCGCGUAGGCGGCCCUGUUAGUCCGCUGUAAAAGUCAAAGGCUCAACCUUUGAAUGCCGGUGGAUACUGCAGGGCUAGAGUCCGGAAGAGGCGAGUGGAAUUCCUGGUGUAGCGGUGGAAUGCGCAGAUAUCGGGAGGAACACCAGUGGCGCAGGCGGCGUCCUGGACCGGCACUGACGCUGAGGAGCGAAAGCGUGGGGAGCGAUCCGG
rnacentral:rRNA from 1 species